rnacentral:rRNA from 1 species
UGGGGAAUAUUGGACAAUGGGCGCAAGCCUGAUCCAGCCAUGCCGCGUGUGUGAAGAAGGCUCUAGGGUUGUAAAGCACUUUCAGUAGGGAGGAAGGCCAGAGGCUUAAUAAGUCUUUGGAUUGACGUUACCUACAGAAGCAGCACCGGCUAACUCCGUGCCAGCAGCCGCGGUAAUACGGAGGGUGCAAGCGUUAAUCGGAAUUACUGGGCGUAAAGCGCGCGUAGGCGGUUUGUUAAGUGUGAUGUGAAAGCCCAGGGCUCAACCUUGGAACUGCAUCACAUACUGGCAGGCUAGAGUACGGUAGAGGGGGGUAGAAUUCCACGUGUAGCGGUGAAAUGCGUAGAGAU